AUCGUGCCCCAACUUUUCUUUCACAACCUCCUUUUUCUUUCUCCCCAGACCCUAAUCAUCUUCCCUACGCGUUCUCUUCUACCACCCUAUCAUGGAUCUUCCGUGGUUUCUAUAUUUCUUCAAUUCGUCUUCUAGCUGUUUAAUGGGUCGUUUCAGGAUGAAGUCAGUUAACUGGACAAGAAUAUGAGAAAACAAUGUUUAAUCCAGAAGAUUGUGAUAAUCACAGGAAUUUAAUAUUAGAUGCCAUUAGCAUCCCUGUAAUAGAAAGUAUUGGAGCAGGUUAGCGAGAAUAUUUUUCAGCGGUUUUUAAGAAAACUAAUGCUUCAGCUGCCCUUUCUGCGUGAGUAUCUCACAGGAAGUGUUUUUAAGAUCAUUGGAGUUGUUUCAAGUGAAGAUGAACUGUUGGAGUGUGCAGAGGAUGAGCAUAUAUAAGUUAGAAUAAGAAGGUUCACCUGCACCGAGCUCAGUAUUGGGCAUAGACAUAAUGGAAAUGGAAAUACAAAUUCAGAAGUUGUGGCAUGGAAACUUCAAACUCAUAUAUGAUGUUCACCUAAGGAAAACUUUCUCAGUAUGUCAACUGAAGAAUCAAUAUGAAACCAAAGACGGUCUUAAACUUUUGAAGACAGUAAUAGCGAAAGCAGGAUACACCGGCAAAGUACAUAUGUUAUUUGGGAUGGAUGUUGCUGCCCCAGAGCUUUAUGCUGAGACGGAGAAGACCCACAAUAUGAAUUUAGAGCUCACUUGAUUUGGGGCGUGGACCAGGGACUUGAUAUGCUGAUUGCAUGUUUAUUUAUCUCAAAUGAAAACUUGAAGUUUUCAGUGGCUCCAUGCCUCCAUCCCCUUAUGCUUAUGACUCAGGGGUUGAAGUAAAUUCUCUUCCUGUUAUCGCUUUAUAGUUUAUGCUUAUGAAUCGCAGGGGCAUCAAUUAAGUGAUAUUAAGUGAAAGAGCAUAAUAAGGGAAAAACUUCUGAAAUUAUAUAUAACUCCAUUUACUUGCUAUCUUAGCUCAAAUGGAAGAGCACGUGGUUCUUAAUAACCAUGUAGUUGCGGGUUCGACUCCCACAUAUGGCAUUGUUAUUUUAAAAUAAGACAAAAACUUGCCUCCUAUGACAGUAUUAGCUCUUCUUGCUGCAGUCUGCAAUGUCCCGCAGAUAUAUGAUCAUAUUGUUCAGUAUUUAUUUUCUGUGUUUUGUUAGCUUAUUAUAGCAGAAUGGAAAAAGCUGAGGUUCUUGGUUUGAUGAGUUUUUUUGUUGGUUUACAUUCAACAACCUAUUGCUUAAGAUACCGUGUCUACUGAAGUUGAUACAUCUUCAAUGCAUAUCAUUUGAAGUCGCUGCUGUGUUUUGGUAGUUUAGUUGUUAAGGAUAGUCUCGGACUGUCAACUGAUAUCACGAUUUAUGAUUACAACUGUACUGAAAACUAUUUAGUAGAGCUAAAGAAAAACUAGGUAUUUGUGGUGAUAACCAGUCUCAAAAGAAGAGAUCCAAAAUAACCUAAAGUUUCGGACAACCAAUUUGAGCCUGUGCAUCGCACGGGCGUGCAACUAGUAUACCUUAUAACUAUCUGUAAAUAUACAAGGAGAUACAACAGGGAAAUUAGUUUUGAAUUAGGAUUUGGUCUUAUGCAUGUCAGUCAUAGGUUUGUUAGUUGAGAAUUUGCAGCGCAGGUUAUAACAACUACCAUAAAUAGGGGUCCUCCAAAAUUUAAAUGCCAUAUUUGGAUCCGGUAAAUCAUUUGACUGCUGAAGACCUAGUUGACCGUGAGAAAAUUAAUUAGUUCAGCAGGCGAUGUUAUGAAAAUCUAUAUAGGCCACCGAUUCCCCUUCCAUAUAAACUCUAUUCCCAUCACACACAUUAGGUGGUAUAAAAUAAUAGUGCAGCUAUUGACAAAUUUAUUAUGUAAUGUUUUAUUUUUUGGUUUUUCUUUGGUACAAGUAGUAAAGUUACACUAUUUAGGUGAAACUACGAGUUUAUUAGGACGAUAAUUUAUGGAAGAUCUUCGCCUCCACUGCAAUCUGUCUUCAUUUAUUUGUUAAUUCUUCAAACUCUUUCUCAAAUAAUACUUAGCUUAAGAACUUUUCGGUUUGAUGUAAUAUUGUAUGUUUCGGGCUGUCCUGCUAUGGUACACAUGUCGUUUGUAAGCUACUCAGGAUUCUAUAGCCUAGCAGUUUGAGUGGUAAAGUAUGUUGACCGUGUGGUUUCAGCAGUGUAUCUUUAAGGACUCAUACGCUUUUUGUCGAUUCCAACUGUAAUACUAAAAAGAAGGUAGUUGAUUUGGUUAGUUAUCAAUUGGUUAUCCCUGCAAUGGGUACUAAAAAUGUUGUUGGUCGAAUAUAUGCUUCUCAUGCUUAGCAAGAGUUGGUAACAGACACAAGUUUUUAUUGGGAAUUGUAAAAUUUAUCUCAUUGUUUAUAAUACGUGUUCAUUCAUGACCUAAUCUCUGGUAACUAAUUCGGGUUUCAUCAGUUAAAGGCAUUGUAAUUUUGGAUUUUCAAUUAUUCACCCAUUAAUUCGAUGUGUUAUCAUGAAUAGGUAUGAAGAAAACCAUUGCUUUUCUGUCAUGAAUGAUUUCAGUACAUUUUUCAGCUCAUUGUUUGGACUUGAAUGAAUUCUUGACGCAAGAUCCGCAAUAAUUUCAUCCUCAAGAUUUUCCUUCCUAAAGCGUUUUAUCAGGCAUGAAGAAGGAAAAAUUGUUCAAUUCUUUUUUAAUUUUAGCCUUCCUUUUGAAUUUUAGAUUCUUAGUUUUUUGAAAAAAUAAUUUUAUUUGAUCCAUGGGUAUGUACGUAUAAACAUUAAUUUUUGAUGCAGAGGUGUAGAUGGGGCAAAACGAUUUGCUGCUUUUCACGGGAUUGAGGAGAUGAUCGUACGGAGGAGACUCCUUGAACCGAGCGAAAUGUUCAACCUCACACAGAUGCACUGCAAGAAGGGGG